UACGUAGGGGGGCGAGCGUUGUCCGGAUUCAUUGGGCGUAAAGAGCUCGUAGGCGGCUUCGUAAGUCAGGUGUGAAACCUCCAGGCUCAACCUGGAGGGGUCAUUCGAUACUGCCGUGACUAGAGGUCGGUAGGGGAGUGUGGAAUUCCUGGUGUAGCGGUGAAAUGCGCAGAUAUCAGGAGGAACACCAAUGGCGAAGGCAGCACUCUGGGACGUGACUGACGCUGAGGCGCGAAAGCUAGGGGAGCAAACGGG
rnacentral:rRNA from 1 species